UCGAGAGUUUGAUCCUGGCUCAGAUUGAACGCUAGCGGCAGGCUUAACACAUGCAAGUCGAGGGGUAUAGUUCUUCGGAGCUAGAGACCGGCGCACGGGUGCGUAACGCGUAUGCAAUCUACCUUUUACAGAGGGAUAGCCCAGAGAAAUUUGGAUUAAUACCUCAUAGUAUGUGAGAAUCGCAUGGUUUAAUAACUAAAGUUCCAACGGUAUAAGAUGAGCAUGCGUCCCAUUAGCUAGAUGGUAAGGUAACGGCUUACCAUGGCGACGAUGGGUAGGGGUCCUGAGAGGAGACUCCCCCGACACUGGUACUGAGACACGGACCAGACU
rnacentral:rRNA from 1 species